CCACUGAUGUUCAGUAGUAGAAUGCUCGCCUGCCACUCGGGCGGCCCGGGUUCGAUUCCCGGCCAAUGCA